UGUUGAGAGUUGUUAUCUGUGUGCAGCAGUUGACUGGAAGGAAAGGUUUGGGAGCAGCUGUCCUUUCUAGCCCUUGGCCUGGAACGGGUGGCAAAUUCUGCAGGGGAUCAUUCCGAGGGGAAAAAGAAGAACUGUGAAGAAAAGAUAUUUUCCAAUUUCAACAUUAAAGGCCUGGAACAGGUGGUCUCGUCAGCAGGGGAUCAUUCUGUGCGUGGUAAAAGAACUGUGAAGAAAGGAUACUCAACGUUCAACUUGGGAUCUGUUACCAAAAAGUUGCCAUUUACCUACUGAAACAGAAUGAUGAAUUGUAAACUCUUCCACUGGAUUGUAAUCAGUCAGCUGAUCCAAAACCCAUCUGAAGGGGAGAUUCUACUACCCCUGCAGCAGAUAUUUUAAAUAACUCAGAAGUCUGGGGAAUAGAGUCACUGUAAAUACCUUCCUACCUAUCUCGAAUUCAAUUGUGUGUAAAAUAAAUAACAAGGCCUCAUUUAUCUUAUUAUAAA